rnacentral:rRNA from 1 species
UACAGAGGUCCCGAGCGUUGUUCGGAUUCACUGGGCGUAAAGGGUGCGUAGGCGGUUCUGAAAGUCUGAUGUGAAAUCUCCAGGCCCAACCUGGAAACGGCAUUAGAAACUACAGGGCUAGAGGCUUGGAGGGGGAACUGGAAUGCUCGGUGUAGCAGUGAAAUGCGUAGAGAUCGAGCGGAACACCAGUGGCGAAGGCGAGUUCCUGGACAAGUCCUGACGCUGAGGCACGAAAGCUAGGGUAGCAAACGGG